rnacentral:misc_RNA from 1 species
AGAGCAACGGCCUACCAAAGGGACGAGCAAGAAAAAAGCAUAUUGAUCGCUGCGCAGCUGCACCUCAAGUGGGAGGCUGACUCGAAGGAGCAGCAGAUCCCCUUCGACGUACUGUUUUCCCCUGUUCGUGUUCGCUAUUGCGCCUGCAGCCCUCUCUACCCCCACCCCCCACCCUUGCGCUUCUCGACCUUGCCCACUAACUCGUAUCGCUUCCGAAAGCUGGGGCGAGCACAUGCGAAGGAAGAAGAUAAGUGACCAUCUCUGUCUAUCCGCCUGUCUUUCUCUCACGCACACUCACACAUUCCGAUUCGAACGAGGCGGAAACAUUCCAUAAAAACUCUGCACUUGUGCUGUUGCGGUCGUCACGUUACUGUGCUUCUCUGCGCGCCGCUUCUUUUUCGUUGUUGUUUUGUUUGGGUGUUCAUAAUUCUAUCUGCCACUACUACCUUCCUCUUUCGCGUUCUCGCUGUCUCUUUUCCUCCUCUUCGCUUCUCUCUGAUUUCGUGGCACCAUCACGCAUACAAAACACUCAUCUUACAUAGACUGUGGCGCUGUAUUCUUUUUCUCUCUUGAUCAUUUUGUUGCUUGGCUCUCGUUCUUGUCUCCCUGACGUCAAUUCUCCCCUCCCUCCCCACCCACCCUCGCAACACACACACAAACGCGCGACCGCGGACACAAGUCAAAGGACUGCGCGCUCGAAGGUGUCCUGUGAGAGGUCGAAGAAGGUGAUUGCUUUGGAUGAGACUGAAGAGGUCUGUUUCGACUGCCCUUGCUUCCCUCGCCAGUUCUUGUUGGUCUUUCACUUCUCUUCCUCACCGCACGGGCUACGACUAGACGUGAAUCACAGGGGAUAAUGUCAUCUAGUAGCCCGUAUCGUGGACGAGGCUCUGCUAGAGGUGACGCCUACCUGUCCACGAGCACGUCGCCAUCGCCGUCGAGCCCUCACGCAGCGUCCUCUUCAUCGCUCUCGCGGCAUGCGCGGCAAACACGACUCAUCGCCUCGCAUGGCGGCUCCACCGCCGGCCUGACAGCGACUAUGAGAAACCCAACGGAUAUAGGCACCGCUGCUGCAUCGCAGUCGCCCACUGACGUUUUGCGCCCACCCACGUCCGUCGAGACGAUGAUGCUGCUCACUAUGCCUGCCGCGAGCUCUCGCCAAAGCACAUCCUCCUGGUUGCCAACUCGGCUCACCUCAUCCUACUGUGUUCUGAGCGCGGCCGGGCUGCAGGAGGACUUCUACACAAGCUGUCUGUCCUGGGGGACCAACCAGAUGGCGCUGGCGCUGCAGGAGGAUCUCGUGUUGUUUCAUCCGAGUCACCCGCGGCAGGCUUCUUCGACGGCACGCAUCUCGACCCCUCCUGCUCUCAGGGAAGCUGGCAGCAAUACCGGCACAGGGUCCUCUGCUGCCUUCUCGGGCCCGCGGCGAGCGACGGCGGUGGCGAUGACCCGCUUUCAGGAGACGUCCUGUUUCCUCGGUAUGUCGAACGGCGCUGUGGAGCUGUACGAAGGACGCGGGGAUGGCACACUGCAGCGCACGGUCGCCUUCGCUAUGCCACCGCCGCCGACAGGCUACCUGAGCUCACUUGUGCUCGGCAGUGACGAUUGCGGUGGCGCAGCCUCGCCAGCGUCGCCGACGUCUCGCGCGGCGCGUGCACUUUGUCUCCUCAGAUCCUCUGUCUCGUCCAUCAGCUGUGUGGGCACCAGCAGUCGCCAUCCUUGGCUGGGGUCUGCAGCCACUGCCGCCCGCGGACUGAUCACCGUGGAUGCAAGGCAGGUGCAGCCCGCCAUCCGCUUCGGCACGGACGCCGAGCUUUGCCUAGACGAGGGCGCACUGCGCUCAUCCUCGGUGACUGCGUCCGAUUCGUCUGCGGCUAGCGGCGGACUCAGCAAGCUGCAGCGCGCCGCCUCGUUUCUCCGGAGGCACGAUCGACUGUGCAGCGUGUCAUGGAACGCGACAGGCUCGCUGGUAGCGACUGGCAGUGGAAGUGGCAUUGUAAAGGUGUGGUCCCUAAGCGCGCCGCAGCGCCCAUUGCACACCUUCCUCGUCGAUCAGGACUGCUCUGUGAAAGCACUGUGCUUCCACCCAGGGAGUCCGUAUGUGCUGCUAGUGGGGGCCUCCGCUGGCGCGGCGGGGCUGCGGACGUACGACUUGUCCGGCGCCGAGCCCGCUUUGAUUUCCACUGGUGCGACGGCUGCUCCUGUGACGCAGGCCUUGUACGAUCCCGAGGGCAACUACGCAGUGACCGGGGCCGGCGUCCCCUUGUCGCCCGUCUCGUCAUCGUUAUCACAACCGCAGUACCCAGUGCUGGCCGCUCACACAGAGCUUGGGGCAACAGGCGCUGGCAUUGGUAGCGGCUUUCAUGAGCAUGGCGCUGGUUGGCACCGCUCCUCGUCAACUCGGCCCAGCGCAGCCAGCAGCAACAGUGCCAUCGGCGCAUCUGGCGGCGCCACUCUCCUGCACGACUCAUGGGACGAGAUGGAGAUGCCGGCCUCUCCUCUGAGCGCGACUCUUGACACGGCCGCCGGGCUUGCUGGCGCCUUUGCCAGUGAAAGCAACGGCAGCUCAGCUGCUGCACACAGCGCGCCACCGAAUGCGCUCGUAGUGUGGCGUUGCGGCACCAGGCGCCGCGAGAAUUACCUCCGCGAGGCUCUUCUCCAGCGCAGCGACCGGCGGAGAGACAGCGCAGGCGGCCGAGACGACUUUGCUCGGCACGGCGACGACGCAAGCGAUGACGACAGUGAAGAUGUUGCCCAAGAGGACUGCCUCGCCCGAGGUGGUUUGCGGGAUUCGACUGUUGUCGCGGACGACGGCCACAGCAGCGAUAUCGGUUAUCCGAGGUCGGAGUGGAUGCCAAUGUACGCCCUCCCUGGCCAUCGCGCGCGGCCGCUGCUUAUUUGCGCUCCCUUUCCGCAGUCCCCGUUUGCCGGUUGCUACGCAUCCAUUGCCGGUGGCGAGGAUGGCACAAUCCGCUUUUGGCGUUUCUUCGAGACCACCUCGGAUGCCACACACUGGCAGCACCGUCGCCAAGCGCAGCAGCAGUCAGCGGCGACCCAGGAGGACAUGGAUUUACUCGCCACCCCAGUGCUGCGGUGAAGCAGAACAAUGGCGCGCCCCUCGCAUGCGCGUUCGCGCACGCAACAGGUGAUCGGACGAUGGUCAUAAAGGCUGCUCUCGCGUCUUGGCCUCGUGGCGCUUCCCUCUUGCCUCGUCUCUGAGAAGAUCGUCGUGGACAAAGGUGUAUGUGUGUGCUCGGAAAAGCACUGAUGUGCGAGGUAAGAGCCUGUCGCUAGACUUGCAAAUGGACUGUGGGCGAGGAUGGGACAGGGCAGAACACG